UGACGUGUAGCUCAGUGGCAGAGCAGCGGAUUGUUAAUCCGCGGGUCGCAGGUUCGAACCCUGCCACGUCAG
rnacentral:tRNA from 1 species